AUUGAACGCUGGCGGCAUGCUUUACACAUGCAAGUCGAACGGUAACAGGCCGCAAGGUGCUGACGAGUGGCGAACGGGUGAGUAAUGCAUCGGAACGUGCCCAGUCGUGGGGGAUAACUGCAGCGAAAGCUGCGCUAAUACCGCAUACGAUCUAUGGAUGAAAGCGGGGGACCGAAAGGCCUCGCGCGAUUGGAGCGGCCGAUGUCAGAUUAGGUAGUUGGUGGGGUAAAGGCCCACCAAGCCAACGAUCUGGAGAUGGUCUGAGAGGACGACCAGCCACAAGGGGACUGAGACACGGCCCAGACUCCUACGGGAGGCAGCAGUGGGGAAUUUUGGACAAUGGGCGCAAGCCUGAUCCAGCAAUGCCGCGUGCAGGAAGAAGGCCUUCGGGUUGUAAACUGCUUUUGUACGGAACGAAACGGUCCGGGUUAAUACCCUGGGCUAAUGACGGUACCGUAAGAAUAAGCACCGGCUAACUACGUGCCAGCCGCCGCAGUAACAC
rnacentral:rRNA from 1 species